rnacentral:rRNA from 1 species
AUGCCUUCAUGCUGGGCCGAGGAGGAGCGCGCCGUCGAGAUCGUUGAUGACAGCGACAUGGGCGAGGCCGGGGAGGAGGUCAUGGUUGAUGCUUUACUGCCUGAACAUGUUGACCGGGAACAAGAGGGUAAGGUGGAUGUGAGGGCGGAGGCGCAUGCCAUGGUGCAGGAUGUUGUGGAAGCCCGAUUAUUUGAGGAAGUGACAGCCACUGGGAGCAUGGAUCGACAGACUAGACAGACCAAGUCCAUUGAUCGGUUGAUUCAACAACGAAGGAAGAGGCAGAAGGUUAUAAAAACGAGCUUGGGGAUUUACUGA